GGCUAUGGCCAUACCACCCUGAAUGUGCCUGAUCUCAUCUGAUCUCUGGAGCUAAGCAAGGUCAGGCCUGGUUAGUAUUUGAUGGGAGAAUGGAUUCUUAAAGCAAUAUGAGAAGUGUUUUGGAUU
rnacentral:rRNA from 1 species